rnacentral:lncRNA from 1 species
UACGUAAUGAAAGAAAUUGCCUUAAGGUUCCAAAAUGCUGGCAAAGCUUUCAUGUGAUCUUGUGCAACCCAAUGUGCAGAUCAGGUUAAUACUUGUAGGAAAAAGUAAACGUGCCUCGUUCGCACGUUUCCGUCAUUCAUGUCGUACAAAAAAUUCAAGUCCGAUGCCCCCUGGAAACGACCCACGACUUUGCUCAAGAUAAAACGUCGUUUGCUAUCUGUACUUUCCGUUCCUUCUUUAAAAAGAACUUAUUUCUUCUUAAAAAAUGACGUCAUUUAACGUCGUUCGUCGCUCCAGUUUUCUGGCCCUCUUUUUAAACGGCCUUUUAACGUGCGUUAGAGAUCAUUGCUUUCCUGUUUCUUUCGCUUCAAGUUUUAAGAAUGGACCACUACUUUAGGCAUUAGUAAAAUCUCAGUUUUGGCGAUUACUUUAAAUGCAAAUAUGAAGUAUAAAUACAACUGGUAAUUUUUUCAUCAAUUUGAACUUAAUUGUUUCAUAUUUAUACUGAAUAUUUGUAACUAGUUAUAUCAUAAGAAGGCUUGAUAGGACAAAAUAAAAGUUAGAGAUUCAGGAAAUCAUACGUGGGUUCUGUUAGAGAGAGAAUAAGCAAUUUAGAGAGAGUAGCAAAGGAUCGAGGAAAUACUUUCAAAGCAGGCCCAGUAUCAAGCUAUUCUUGUUUCUGCACGGUAUAUGUGCAAGGAACAUGUUCCAUGAGAUUGAGAUUGCGUAUCUUUUCUUCCAAAAGAAAAGUAAAAAUGUCUAUAUUUUUUUCCAAAAGAAAAGUAAAAUACAUCUAGCACUACAGUAAACUAAGUUUCAAUUGCCUGUCAAAUCAUGUGGCAACCUAGAAUAGCUAUCCACAAUAACAACUAACAUCUAUCCCUUUUGAACUAUUUGUUCAUUCUCAAAAAUUUCUGUAACCUUAUCCUACACCCAAAAGGUAAAAUUUGAAAGACUAGCCCAAUCAUGCUCCCGGCUGCUGUUCUUAAAGCCCAACUUUCUCAAAAGGAGGCGCAUCAAAGAAAAAAUACGUAAUGAAAGAAAUUGCCUUAAGGUUCCAAAAUGCUGGCAAAGCUUUCAUGUGAUCUUGUGCAACCCAAUGUGCAGAUCAGAAGAUAUAGAAAUCAUAAGUGGGAGAGAGUAAUGCCAGACUGCUUUAAAAACCCGUUUCUGAUGAGCUCUUAUAGAUUGGGAUGGCUUAUUGGAAUUAUACCUGAUAUCAAACACAUGAAUCACAGGGUCUACUGAACCAGAUGUC